ensembl:lncRNA
UUUUUUUUUUUUUUCUUUUGGCAAUAAAAUAAGGUAUAUUUAGCACAAUACCUAGUAACUAAAAAAUCUGUUUUUAUUUGGGUGGGGUACACAGCAAGUGUGUCAUCCUGGAAGAUACUAUUUGGAAUUUUAUGUAGGUACAUAAAGAGAAAAAAGUGAAAAGGGGCUACUAGGACACUGCAGUAUGCUUAAUGUGUAUUUUCUAGUAAGUUUGUAUUAGGCCAUUAUCUUGGUACUUUUAUCUUCUGUUCUCACUUGAUCUUUUUGAAAUGUAUUUUCAAUCCUAAUAAAAAUAUAUAAAGUCCUGAUUUAAUAAAGGAUUAAAUGAAACUUUUGUAUAUCGCACUGCAAUUCUCCGAAAAAAGGGGAGUGUGGGGAGGGGGAAUUAUCUGGCAUAGUGACUCAAAAUUGUGAACACGUUCUUACCAAGGAAUAUGGCAACUGCAUAACCAAAUGUCAGUGGUUACCAAACUUAUGAAUCACCUGGUGUUGUGUCAUAGAUUGCUUGUCUCUCGCCCCCAGUGAUUUGGAUCAGUGGAAAUAUGUGGGGUUUAAGGAAUAUAAAAUAUAUUUAUGUAUAUAUUUGUGUGUGUCGCAAAAGCUUCAGGGUAUAUAUAUUUGUGUGUGUCUCAAAAGCUUCAGGGUAAAAUAAGUUUUAACUGUUUAGGAAACUAUUGUUUAAGGUAUCCAGUCUCAAAAAUGAAGGCCUUAAAACUUAGACCUAAUUUUUUCAUUACAUUUCUUGCGCAGAAAAUGGUAAAAUACCCAACGUUAACAGUGGGGAAUUGUCUACAUAUCAACACUUGACUAAAAAGCUUUACUAUCCAUGACAGCAGCCUUUCCAUUACUCUAUUCUGAGAGCAUUUAACGUCUUGAAACCCAGGAAUAAAUACCUAUAGAUUCACAGUACCUGAAAGGAAUAUCAAAUUGAGACAAAAGGACUAUGUAAACGGAAAAUUGCUUCAACCAUAGAAUGGAGGUCUACAGGUGCGGAAGGAAAGUUUACAUGGUGAGGCGUGGUCGCAAAAGUUUAGGAAUAUUCUCAGGUUACUACACAAUUUAACGAGCUCAAUAUGCAUUUAUAUUUUUUCCUUCCACUCUCCUGAGCAGAUUUACACUGACCGCCCCGGUAGCAAACCGACUAUGGAAAAGGCAAAUUAUGUGCACAUUACCAUGUUAUUACCAGGUAGUUCUCGACCAAGCUACAGAUUCUGGCUUUAUCUUAUAUUCCUCUCCCAUCAGCUGCAGAAAAAGGGAUAGGUGCUGUGAAAAACUCCCUAAGUAGAACUUACAGUAAGCAGUGUGAAAACAGCUUAUUUCACUGAAGGGGUUAAGCAGCCCAGAAAAGAGACUUUGGAGUCAAGCAGCCGGGACUCGCUUGGAGCCGGUGUACUUGGUGACAGCCUUGCAAGUGCCCUGGGACAAGGCGUGCUUGGGCCAGCUCGCCGGGCAGCAGCAGGCGCAGGGCCGUCUGGCUCUCGCGGGACGUGAUGGUGGAGCGCUUGUUGUAGUGCGCCAGGCGGGACGCCUCUCCCGCGAUGCGCUCGAAGAUGUCGUUGGCGAAGGAGUUCAUGAUGCCCAUGGCCUUGGACGAGAUGCCGGUGUCGGGGUGGACCUGCUUCAGCACCUUGUACAUGCAGAUGGAGUAGCUCUCCUUGCGGCUGCGCUUGCGCUUCUUGCCGUCUUUCUUCUGGGCUUUGGUGACGGCUUUCUGGGCGCCCUUCUUGGGAGCCGGCGCGGACUUUGCAGGUUCAGGCACGGCCAGACCCAAGACCGACUCUCACCCGCCGAGAACGCAGGCAGAACCUUGGUCUCGGGCUCUACCGGAAACGACUGUGCACUUACAGAGGCCGUGCGCGUGACGCUGCGUUGCGGUUCGCGAGUUUUUCGCGGCGCCC